AUUGAACGCUGGCGGCAUGCCUUAGACAUGCAAGUCGAACGGCAGCACGGGAGCAAUCUUGGUGGCGAGUGGCGAACGGGUGAGUAAUAUAUCGGAACGUGCCCAGUCGUGGGGGAUAACGCAGCGAAAGCUGUGCUAAUACCGCAUACGAUCUAAGGAUGAAAGCGGGGGAUCGCAAGACCUCGCGUGAUUGGAGCGGCCGAUAUCAGAUUAGGUAGUUGGUGGGGUAAAGGUUCACCAAGCCAACGAUCUGUAGCUGGUCUGAGAGGACGACCAGCCACACUGGAACUGAGACACGGUCCAGACUCCUACGGGAGGCAGCAGUGGGGAAUUUUGGACAAUGGACGCAAGUCUGAUCCAGCCAUUCCGCGUACAGGAUGAAGGCCCUCGGGUUGUAAACUGCUUUUGUACGGAACGAAAAGGUCUCUCUUAAUACGGGGGGCUCAUGACGGUACCGUAAGAAUAAGCACCGGCUAACUACGUGCCAGCCGCCGCAGUAA
rnacentral:rRNA from 1 species